GAUGAACGCUGGCGGCGUGCCUAAUACAUGCAAGUCGAGCGAACAGACGAGGAGCUUGCUCCUCUGACGUUAGCGGCGGACGGGUGAGUAGCACGUGGAUAACCUACCUAUAAGACUGGGAUAACUUCGGGAAACCGGAGCUAAUACCGGAUAAUAUAUUGAACCGCAUGGUUCAAUAGUGAAAGACGGUUUUGCUGUCAAUUAUAGAUGGAUCCGCGCCGCAUUAGCUAGUUGGUAAGGUAACGGCUUACCAAGGCAACGAUGCGUAGCCGACCUGAGAGGGUGAUCGGCCACACUGGAACUGAGACACGGUCCAGACUCCUACGGGAGGCAGCAGUAGGGAAUCUUCCGCAAUGGGCGAAAGCCUGACGGAGCAACGCCGCGUGAGUGAUGAAGGUCUUCGGAUCGUAAAACUCUGUUAUUAGGGAAGAACAAAUGUGUAAGUAACUAUGCACGUCUUGACGGUACCUAAUCAGAAAGCCACGGCUAACUACGUG
rnacentral:rRNA from 1 species